GGGGUAUCACUUGGGUGCAAAAGGAUAUGAUUUUGUGGGUACAAGGGCUCUAAGAGUUAUUUCCUUAUAGGUUUUUUAAAGAAAGUUGAAUAACUUAAAUUAUUAAGAAAUCUAAUGCAAGUAGGACUUGUAUUAAGUGCUUAUUUGAUUUUGAAUAGGAUUCAAACCUUAUGCCUAUUUAAAGGAACCUUCUCUAAGGUCCUUAGGAAAUCAAACCAGCA
rnacentral:lncRNA from 1 species